rnacentral:lncRNA from 1 species
AUGACGGAUGUUGCAGAGCUGCCACCGCCUCAGAUUGUGCAGGCAUUCGUCGACUUCCGCACUCACACGCUUAAGGCGGCCGAUUGGGGUGAGCAGGCAGGAGAGCAGACAUGACGGACGACGGAUGGCUAUGUGUUAUGGUACACAAGGGUGUCUCACCCUCAGAUUUUGCCACCUCUUCCAAGAGAUCUUCCGAGGCCAGCAAAUGAAGAGCAGAUCAGUGCACAUAAGUGGGAGCGGUAUGACAUGGUUAGUGCCGCUGUUCCAACGUUGAUGCGCAGUUAGGCCAGGAGGAGGUCAUGAGCCCUCAGUAGUGGUUUCAGGCCAUGACCCAUGUUACGGAGCAGAUCGCGCCGAUCUUGACCAGGAGGCGAGGCUAGAGGCCGAGGAGGAGGCACCAGCAACAUCAGCAGGACCAGGACCAGUAGUAUUUUAUGUUUAGGAUAGAUUUUUAGGAUUUGGUGUAUAUUUUCAUGACAUUUUAUUCGUUCCGUUGUAUUUUCAUGACAUUUGUUACUUUGUUGGUAUUUCGAUGACAUAUUUUUAUGAUAA